rnacentral:rRNA from 1 species
GACGAACGCUGGCGGCGUGCUUAACACAUGCAAGUCGAGCGGUAAGGCCCUUUCGGGGGUACGACGAGCGGCGAACGGGUGAGUAACACGUGGGUGACCUGCCCUCAGCUCUGGGAUAAGCCCGGGAAACUGGGUCUAAUACCGGAUAUGACUCCAUGACGCAUGUUGUGGGGUGGAAAGCCUUGUGCGGCUGAGGAUGGGCCCGCGGCCUAUCAGCUUGUUGGUGGGGUGAUGGCCUACCGAGGCGACGACGGGUAGCCGGCCUGAGAGGGCGACCGGCCACACUGGGACUGAGACACGGCCCAGACUCCUACGGGAGGCAGCAGUGGGGAAUCUUGCGCAAUGGGCGAAAGCCUGACGCAGCGACGCCGCGUGAGGGA